rnacentral:tRNA from 1 species
GUUUUAAUAGUUUAAUAAAAAACAAUGGUCUUGUAAAUCAUAAAUAAGAUUUCAUCUUUUAAAACU